UGCGGUAUUAGGACCUUUCCCUUCACUUUCACCGUAUUGCAAAUAUCCUCUCCCUAUAAAAAAGCUUCAUCGCCGCCUUUGUCUUUUGUUUCUUCGAUUCGAUUCGCCGGUAAGUAAUUCCCAUCUCACCGGAAAACCCCCCCCCAAAUUUACUCUUUUUCUCCUUAAUUUCUAGGGUUUCUUCUUCUCCGCCCUCGAAUUUUCUAGAAAUUACAGAAAAAGGAAAAAUAAAAUAAAAAUUCAAUUGUUUUUUUUUUUAUAUAAUUUGAUUAGUCUUCUUACCAGAUCUGCUAUUGAGUUUUGAAUUAACGGGUUUUUUGUUCGAGCAAGGGUUUGUUUGACUUUAAUUAGUGAAAUUAGGGUUAGGGUUUGUAGGUGAAUUAUUAGGGUUUAUAUGGCUGCUGGAAGGCAUGGCGGUUACAGGGAUAAUGAAUUUAGGGGACGUGAUGGUGAGUUUGAGGUAUCAAGGAGGGAACUUGGUGGUGGUUAUCCGAAAGGGGAUUAUGAACGAAUUAGGGAUCGUGACGAUCGGGAGAAUCGAGUUAAUGAUAGGAGUGGCGGUCGAGAUGAUAGGGGUAGUAGGUUGAGACAGAAGGAUGUAAAAGAAAGGGGUGUGAUGAAUGGCGGUUAUAAUAGGUCCGUGUCGUCGAGUAGGAGUGAUUCGGGUAGUAGUGAUGGUGGUGCAGCGAGGAGAAGUAGUGGGCGUAGUGUUAGGGAUGUUGUUGAUCGAGAGCCUGGGGAAUUGUCUAGUGAGAGUGGUGGGUCUGAUGGGGGUGUUGAUUCGGACCAUAAGACGAAUACCAAGAAUGUCGACAAUGGGAAUCAGUCACCAGUACAGAGCAAGAAACGGAAGUUCUCUCCGAUUAUAUGGGAUAGGGAAGAUAAGGAAGCGAAUAGAAUGUUAAAGAGUAGAAAUUCGCCAGCAGAGGUUAAGCUACCUCCUCCGCCUCCUUUACCAAAGUCGUCUGGCGAGUUGGCUGAUCUUCCAUUUGAAAGGGUUGAGCAGGUUGAGCUGUUGAAGAAUAAUGAUAUUCGCAGCACGGAGCCAUCACCAAGUAAUCCAAAUCCAGCACUUGGUUUACGUGUUGAUGCAGCUGAAUCCCCAGUUGACAUAUGUUCGCCACCUCCUGAUGAGGAGAAAUUGCCGAAUCAGGAAGCCAGGAAAGUAGAAGAUGAGGAAUACGUGCCGACUAUAAGAUCAUCUCGGUGGGCAACCGAUGCUGACUCUCCAGCUGAUGAAGGUGAGAUUUCAGGUGACGAUAUGCCCCAAUUGAAGAAGCGACGAGCAGUUUCCCAGUCAGCCGGAAUGGGGGGACGCAGGAAAUCAGUAACUCCAGAAUUUGGGGACCUCAAGAGAGACUGCUCCGGGGGGAAUAGAGCAAGGUCCUCAGAUUCUGAUGAACGUAUUAGGUCUUCCAGCAGAGAUAGCUACCAGGACAAUGAUUUAGAUAAGAAUGACUCAAUGGAUGUGGAUAAGGACCGUAAUUAUGAUGAUAGUAGUGUUAGCCAGUCAGAUAGAGAUUCUGAAGAUGAACAUGAUUCUCGUGGUACACCAGAGCCUGCACUUCCUCCUCAACGGAGUGUAAACAUGCUGCAGGGGUGUAGAAGUGUCGAUGAGUUCGAGCGGCUUAACAGGAUAGAUGAAGGUACUUAUGGUGUUGUUUACAGAGCUAAAGAUAAGAAAACAGGAGAAAUUGUUGCACUAAAGAAGGUUAAGAUGGAGAAGGAACGAGAAGGAUUUCCCUUGACAUCUCUAAGGGAGAUAAACAUUCUUCUUUCUAUUCAUCACCCCUCAAUUGUAGAUGUCAAAGAAGUAGUUGUAGGAAGCAGUCUUGACAGUAUUUUUAUGGUGAUGGAGUACAUGGAACAUGAUCUGAAGGCAUUAAUGGAGACAAUGAAACAACCAUUUACCCAAAGUGAAGUCAAAUGUCUUAUGCUCCAGCUUUUGCAGGGUGUCAAGUAUCUUCAUGAUAAUUGGGUCCUUCACCGAGAUCUGAAGACUUCAAAUUUGCUUCUAAACAACCGAGGUGAGUUGAAGAUUUGUGACUUUGGUUUAGCUCGUCAAUAUGGGAGCCCCUUGAAGCCAUACACUCAUUUGGUGGUUACUUUGUGGUACAGGGCGCCAGAACUUCUGUUGGGAGCCAAACAAUAUUCUACUGCAAUUGACAUGUGGUCACUGGGUUGUAUCAUGGCGGAGAUGCUAUCCAAAGAACCGCUCUUCAAUGGACGAACAGAAGUUGAUCAAAUUGACAAGAUUUUCAGAAUUCUUGGCACCCCAAAUGAGACAAUUUGGCCAGGGUUUUCCAAACUUCCUGGGGUGAAGGUCAACUUUGUAAAGCAUCAGUAUAAUAAUUUAAGAAAAAUAUUUCCCGCUACAGCCUUCACGGGGUCGCCAGUCCUAUCAGAUGCUGGCCUUGACCUGCUGAAUAAGCUUCUAACUUAUGACCCUGAGGAGAGAAUAACUGCCGGUGAUGCUUUGAACCAUGAGUGGUUUCGUGAAGUUCCUCUCCCCAAGUCUAAAGAAUUCAUGCCUACUUUCCCUGCACAGCAUGCGCAAGAUAGGCGUGUGCGAAGAGUAGUAAAGAGUCCAGAUCCUCUUGAGGAGCAGCGAAGAAAGGAACUGAAGCAAGGGGUGUUAGGAACUGGUGGAUUGUUUGGCUAAGAUAAGUGAAUAGUGCUCAGUAACUGUUUGAGUUUUGCUUUCUCUAAUACUCAUGGGUUGACAUGGUUGAGGUUAGAGCCAUGCAUUGAAAGGAAGUUGCAAAUAUUGUUUGCGAGACGAUCAGUUCAGCUGUUUUUUAGCAGGCUUAUCUGACAAUUAGAUCGAGAAACAAUUCUUUUGGCUGUGCGUUAAGAUCUGUUGCAGGUUGACCUACUCGGCUCUGGUGCCUUAUCAAAAUCUUUGAGACUGCUUGCAUGGCCAGGGGUGACAUAGUGAGCUUACCUGUUAAGGAACAAUUUCAAUUGAAACUCGUGUAUGUAACAUAUUUCCCAUUGGCAGUGUAAACAAUUUUCUUGAAAUUGUUUUUGUUACUCAAAAACAUAUGGAUUAGUUUCGUACUUCUAGUAUGUCGAUUUUAAUUUUCAUAUUCUGUUUGCAAGAGAUGGUGGUGUAAAGCAGAUGGGGAAUUCUUAGCUUUUUCAUUGACGAAGAAUUUCACUGAAACUAUUGCACAUUUGAAGUAGCAAGGAAAGCAGGUUGAGGAGCUUAUCUACAACCUGGCAUACAUAGAAUUUCAAAUUUAUUUUCGAUACUUCAGAUACUCGUAUUGUCUGCCCAAGCCAGUAAAGGCAGGUACAUUAGAAUCACUAGUCCGGAAGCUCAUCUACUAGCAGGGAAGUGGGUGGAAGGACAUAUUUCAAGGAAAUAGAUCUGUGUUCCCAGUGCAGACUAGGAAGAGAUUGAUACAAGCUGUAUAGCUACUUGAAGAAGUUGGGGGUCUGUUUCCUAGAAUGUUGAGGCUAUGAAAUGGCAGAUGAAUGUUCAUCGUGGUGCUUGAAAGACCAUGCAAAGGUUUUUUCCUGCAUGUUUUGGUCACCACAUGGGUGUCUUCAGAACUUUGCAAUCAGAAAAGGAGAAGGGAAAGCAGUAGAGACUGGUCUUCAGCAAAAUAGAUCUGGUGAAAUCACAAACUCCCUCUUGAAGAGGAAAAAUCGUCCGUAAUUUACCAACUUGAUUCUUUUUAUUGAAUAUGUUUGUAACUAAAGCGCCUUCCUGUUUUCCUUAAUAACUGAUAUCAUGCAGUCUUCUGUUGAAACUUAGGGUGGAGAAGGAAUGGUAUGUUUAAAUGUUGGACCAAGUAACAAAAGGUUGCCCUGUGCAGAAUGCAUCUGCUUUAUUGUGCUUCAAGGCUCUUUUAGGCCUUGGAUGUUAUCCGAGCCUAAGUGGAGGAGUGUCUGCUUGUUGUUUGCGAGAAGUUUUCUUGUGGCUAUUGCUACCGUCUUCUCCUAAUGAACUUGAUGGUUAAUCGUUUGUUAGGAUUGGUGAGAAAUAUGCCUCUACACGAUUUUCUUAACAAUAAUAAUGAUUGGAGAAUAAAUUCUGUGUGGAGUCUUCAUACUUAAACACAUUGAUGCUGUACAGCCAGAUAAAUAUGGUAAAAAUGAAACUGACGUUCUUGAUGGUAACGUUGGCAUUCCUUUCAGAA